ACACUCCUACGGGAGGCAGCAGUGGGGAAUAUCGCACAAUGGGCGCAAGCCUGAUGCAGCCAUGCCGCGUGUAUGAAGAAGGCCUUCGGGUUGUAAAGUACUUUCAGCGGGGAGGAAGGCGAUAAGGUUAAUAACCUUGUCGAUUGACGUUACCCGCAGAAGAAGCACCGGCUAACUCCGUGCCAGCGGCCGCGGUAAUACGGAGGGUGCAAGCGUUAAUCGGAAUUACUGGGCGUAAAGCGCACGCAGGCGGUCUGUCAAGUCGGAUGUGAAAUCCCCGGGCUCAACCUGGGAACUGCAUUCGAAACUGGCAGGCUAGAGUCUUGUAGAGGGGGGUAGAAUUCCAGGUGUAGCGGUGAAAUGCGUAGAGAUCUGGAGGAAUACCGGUGGCGAAGGCGGCCCCCUGGACAAAGACUGACGCUCAGGUGCGAAAGCGUGGGGAGCAAACAGGAUUAGAUACCCUUGUAGUCC
rnacentral:rRNA from 1 species